rnacentral:rRNA from 1 species
AGCGAACGCUGGCGGCAGGCCUAACACAUGCAAGUCGAACGAACCUUUCGGGGUUAGUGGCGGACGGGUGAGUAACACGUGGGAACGUUCCUUUAGGUUCGGAAUAACUCAGGGAAACUUGUGCUAAUACCGAAUGUGCCCUUCGGGGGAAAGAUUUAUCGCCUUUAGAGCGGCCCGCGUCUGAUUAGCUAGUUGGUUGAGGUAAUGGUACACCAAGGCGACGAUCAGUAGCUGGUCUGAGAGGAUGAUCAGCCACAUUGGGACUGAGACACGGCCCAAACUCCUACGGGAGGCAGCAGUGGGGAAUCUUGCGCAAUGGGCGAAAGCCUGACGCAGCCAUGCCGCGUGAAUGAUGAAGGUCUUAGGAUUGUAAAAUUCUUUCACCGGGGACGAUAAUGACGGUACCCGGAGAAGAAGCCCCGGCUAACUUCGUG